CCAACCCACUGCAACCCCUCCCUGAUCCAGAUCCUACCUUAGCCUCCUCUUCUCUCCCCGAUCUAGAUCCAACCGACCUCUCCCCCUCCCCGCUGCCUCCCAUCCACACGCCGCAUCGCCAAAGCCCUCCUCCAAAUCCCUCAACACGCUGGACAAUGUGCUGCCGGCCCCAAGAAGGCCGCCAAGCUGCUCUCCAUGGUGCCCGCCGUCGCCGUCGCCCGCUCCCCCAAAGCCCGCAUCGCCGGCUUCGUCACCAGAUUCCUGUAGCACCCCACCAGUCGUCGCCUUGCCCGAAGAGCUCACACGCCCCCCCUCCGCUCCCGGCAUCGUCGUCCCUAUAGAGAAGUGGAUCCUCCCGCCGCAACAUCCCGCCCGAUUCCGGUGUCCUUCGGCGGCGCCCAACACACCACCGUGACCCCCUCCCCGCCAUCUUCCUCCCUUGCACAAGCCGCUUGAAUCCUCCCACAGGUCGGCAGUGGCUGGGCUGGAGACACUGCUUCCCCUGCACACUGCGGUGGCGUCAGUGCACCUCAUGUCCUGCAUCACCAUCGACUCCACCUGCUGGUGCUCCAUCUCCCAAGGCGACCUCAUGGACAGCAGCGACGAUGACGAUGAUGAGUAGGAUGACCAGGACAUGUGCGACCCCACCCCUGAGCCCAACGAGCUCGACAAGGACAUACUCGAGUCCGACCUCGAGCUCGACAAGGAGGGUGUCGUCCAACCCGACCAUGAUGACACACCACACAAGAUGGGACACUCUUCCUUGAGGUGACCGAGGAGAGCCGUGACGCCUCCCAGGAAGCAAAGGGCCACGCAAUGGAAGCAAUGUCAGAAGGGAAACUGGAAGAGGCCGUUGAGCAUCUCACCAAGGCUAUACUGCUGAAUCCAACCUCGACAAUCAUGUACGGUACCAGAGCAUCUGUGUUUGUGAAAAUGAAGAAGCUUGUUGCUGCCAUCCGUGAUGUGAACGCUGCUCUAGAAGUGAUGAUUAUUUCCCCCUUCUGUCCCUUGACAUUCUAUCUUGAUUCUGAGAUGCUAAUGAGGGGUGGCGGUUCUUUAUUCUAGAUUUUGUAUGUUCUAUUUUGAUUUUGCAUCGAAGGGGAGCCUUGGCGCAGUGGUAAAGCUGCUGCCUUGUGACCAUGAGGUCAUGGGUUCAAGUCCUGGAAACAGCCUCUUACAGAAAUGUAGGGAAAGGCUGCGUACUAUAGACCCAAAGUGGUCGGACCCUUCCCUGGACCCUGCGCAAGCGGGAGCUAUAUGCACCAGGUUGCCCUAUUUUGAUUUUGCAUCCCUAUCAAUGACUCAAACAUGUUGCUUUACCUACAUAUCCGAGGAUAUUAAACCACUACCAUCUUAUUGAAUUAUUUUCUGUGCUCAGUUAUAUCUACAACCAUUCUGGUAUUGUUAGUUAUGGGUUAUUUGAUUCUAUUCAUAUAGCUAAUCUGCUGAUAUUGUGCAUAAAAUUCCAGGAUCUUUAUGUGUACGUUCUGGCUGUAGUGUGCUCUCAUGUUGUACAUGCCCUUAUGUUUAGUAAGAUUAAAUUUCUACUCUUAAUGAUGAAUGAUUGAGUUUUAAAAUUUGAACACAUACUUUCUGGUCCUUUAGUGUUUAAAACUGGUAAUUAUGAUGCAUUGGUCCAUAUGGCCUUGUUUUUUAUGCAUAUGAAGUAGUUGUUAGGCCUUGAUCUCAACCUCUCAAGUUUAUGUUCCCUGGUGUGUAGGUAACUUGUCAUUUUUAUUGGCAAGCCUGUAAUGAAUUUAUUAGAAUCUUGCUCCUAUUGCUGUGUACAGUAUGUAGCAAACAGGUCUAUAUUAGGAAUUAUAAUGUAGAAGUAUAGAAAUGAUAAAUUCAAGCUUCUGCUAUAUAAAUUUGGCUUUUGGCAGGUAAUCCUUUUCCGACCGGCACUAUGGAGAGGACCCUGAAGCCUGGUGUGUUCCUCAAAUCGGGCCACUUGAAGCUUUCAAAGGGCACCAUGGUGCGUUGCAAUGUCAUGGACCACUCGAGGAGGAGAAAGUAUCUAGUCUAGUUACUACACUUGUAGAGCUUGUGGCUGUGAUUACCAUUGUAUCCAAGUUAUAUGAUGUAACAGACUUAUUUUGGCUAUUAUUUGAAGUAUUAUGUGUGAUUUCUAUCUGUUCUGAUUUGAAUAUUGGUUAUUUAUUUACUGGUCAAUUGAAAACAUGGACCCACAUAUUAGGGGAGCGACUACAAUAGAAAAAGGUCCACAGGUGCAAAAAUAGAAAAAACAAGUCUGGGCCUUCUGAUCCUGGAUGAACGGUCCAGAUUCUAGUGGACGGAUCUGAGCGCAUAGGUACUUGGUUCUUUGCAGAAAACUCCCUUGCUUCUACUCGUUUUGCAGUAACGUGGUUGGGCCUUCUCUUCUUCCUAAGAACACAGCAACGCGAACCCCAAUCCCCAACGCGUAGCCGCCAGCUCCAGCUUGGCGACGGUGGCAGCGGGCCAGAUCCGGUGUCUAGCUGGGCGAUUGCGCCCGGUGGAGGUCCAGAUCCAUCCACGACCGUCUUGUUGCCGGCGUUCUGGCUGCCCCGGCGGACCUCCUCUGUCCGAAGCUGAGACCUUGUGCGGGCAAGUUCUCCAAGGUCCUCUGCUGCGACCUCCAUAGAAAACUCUCAUUCCAUUCUUUCUCCUACCCCAAUGAGCCCAUUCUCCACACGUCGCCUGCACCCCCGCAUCUAACUCCACCAUCUGGGAACGUCGUAGAAGAAAUCUCCAGUCUUCAUGUAUGCUUGUCUGAAAGGUUGAUACACUAAUUUUCAUACUUGAUUCUGUAGCAUUUAUUUAGGAAAUCACUGUUGUUCAACUUUUACUGCAAACUGUGCAUGCCAUCUACUCCUCGCAAACAAGAACAUAAUACUAUGGACAAAAUUUUACACUGUAAAGGGAAUUGUGCUUGGAGUUCAGACUGAAAGUGCGAAGUAUUCUGUAACGAGACUUGUGCUUGGAGUUCAGUCUGUAAGUAAUCUAUGGAGUAAAAUUUCAUACUUUCAGACUUGUGCUUUGACGGUCUGGAAGUACUUCUGCUUGUACCAAACUUCAUACUUUCAGACCAACAGUCUGAAAGAUAACAUUCGCAAAGAUGACAAUCUAAAAUUACUUGUGCUUGUACCAAAAUUCAAACUUUCAGACUUGUGCUUGGACAGCCUGAAAGUGCCAAAUUUUACACUAACUUGGACAAUGUGAAAGUCUGAAAGUACCGAAUACUUGUGCUUCAACAUGUCAUCUACGACAUACAUAUUAUUAGUACUUCAAACUUCUUCGGCGUAAAGAGUACUCGCAGUACAUAAUAUUAUUUAGAAAUCAUUUUGGUUCAACUCUUACUGCAAACUUCAAGCACAAUUCUGUAGCAUAUCAACUUUAUUUAGGAGGACAUGAUAUUUUGACAUAUAUAUCUGAAAGUGCUCUUGCUUUAAAAUAGUGCUUGGAGCAUAUGUUGUAUCCUCUAUGAUAAGAUUAAAAAAUUCUGGAUCUUUGGAAAUGAUAUGAAUGGCAAUCAUAUGAACAUUUUGUGAAGGUAUAUAUUUUAAUCGUGAGUAACAGUAUCUUGGAAGCUUACAGAGAUUUUUAUGUUUUGAGGUGAUUAAGAAGUCAGAUAUUUGGAUUUGGAGUGAAAUGCAAUUUCUGCUCUGCAUAUGAUGGAUAGAUCAAAGCUCGUCGACUAGUACUACGUUCGUCCUCCGCUGUUUUGUUGCUGCAUCUCGAACUGAAAAUGGAAGGAAGUGGUGGGACGUCGCCUUUAGGAGAGCCCACCGUUCCAGUAAUCCCAAACUAUGUACCAACACUGUCAGGUCUGACUUCUCCCAGCACAAGAAGAUCGAUAAGCAAGAGGCACUAGUACUGGAGGCAAAAGGCUGUAGCUUUUCUGUUGUGUACCAAACAGAGCAAACUUGAUGCAAAUUCUGAUGGCAAGCUUGUUCAGCAGACAGCGGUGCUUACUUUAGUCCUGCAUACUCUGUGUUGUCUGUGAUGUACCAAAAAUGGUCCUCUCAUGUUAUGUAACACUUUAUAUGUAUGUGUGUCGUCUCUGUUAUGUUCUGUUCUGUCUGGGAUAGUGCAAUUUAAAAUGUAUGCGUAGUUAUGGUUUAAAGUGGAUGGAUUAAUUUUCUCA